GUGUUGUCCACCUGGUUUAAAUCUCUGUCUGUUUGUCUCCUCUCUUCUCUGCAGGUCAUCAGAGCAGUGCUGGUGUCUCCUGUCCAUAUCAGACACAGUGUUGUCCACCUGGUUUAAAUCUCUGUCUGUUUGUCUCCUCUCUUCUCUGCAGGUCAUCAGAGCAGUGCUGGUGUCUCCUGUCCAUAUCAGACACAGUGUUGUCCACCUGGUUUAAAUCUCUGUCAGAUGCAUUGUGUAUUCUAUUUCCUGUCAGUGAUGUUAUCCAGGUGGAGUAUUCUAUAUCCUGUCAGUGAUGUUAUCCAGGUAGAGUAUUCUAUAUCCUGUCAGUGAUGUUGUAUUCUAUAUCCUGUCAGUGAUGUUAUCCAGGUAGAGUAUUCUAUUUCCUGUCAGUGAUGUUAUCCAUGUAGAGUAUUCUAUAUCCUGUCAGUGAUGUUAUCCAGGUAGAGUAUUCUAUAUCCUGUCAGUGAUGUUGUCCAGGUAGAGUAUUCUAUUUCCUGUCAGUGAUAUUGUAUUCUAUAUCCUGUCAGUGAUGUUGUCCAGGUAGAGUAUUCUAUAUCCUGUCAGUGAUGUUAUCCAGGUAGAGUAUUCUAUUUCCUGUCAGUGAUAUUGUAUUCUAUAUCCUGUCAGUGAUGUUGUCCAGGUAGAGUAUUCUAUAUCCUGUCAGGGAUGUUAUCCAGGUAGAGUAUUCUAUAUCCUGUCAGUGAUGUUGUAUUCUAUAUCCUGUCAGUGAUGUUAUCCAGGUAGAGUAUUCUAUAUCCUGUCAGUGAUGUUGUCCAGGUAGAGUAUUCUAUUUCCUGUCAGUGAUGUUGUAUUCUAUUUCCUGUCAGUGAUGUUGUCCAGGUAGAGUAUUCUAUUUCCUGUCAGUGAUGUUAUCCAGGUAGAGUAUUCUAUAUCCUGUCAGUGAUGUUAUCCAGGUAGAGUAUUCUAUAUCCUGUCAGGGAUGUUGUCCAGGUAGAGUAUUCUAUAUCCUGUCAGUGAUGUUAUCCAGGUAGAGUAUUCUAUAUCCUGUCAGGGAUGUUGUCCAGGUAGAGUAUUCUAUAUCCUGUCAGUGAUGUUGUCCAGGUAGAGUAUUCUAUAUCCUGUCAGGGAUGUUGUAUUCUAUAUCCUGUCAGUGAUGUUGUCCAGGUAGAGUAUUCUAUAUCCUGUCAGUGAUGUUGUCCCUAAUGGAAAGGCAUGUCAGAGCCCUGUCCUCCAGUGAGUCAUGUUUUCUCAUCUUUUCCAUUGUGAAUUUCAUCCGUUUCUCCUCUCAGAGGUAAAAGACAGUGAUGGUGUUUUCUAUCCGAUGCUUGUUAGCUGAGGAGGUCUCCAGCGGUCGGAGGAUGGUAUACCGCGGGGUGUUUCAGGAAGCGUCAUACAGCAAAGGACUGCUCAUCUUUCACCACC
rnacentral:lncRNA from 1 species